rnacentral:rRNA from 1 species
GACGAACGCUGGCGGCGUGCUAAUACAUGCAAGUAGAACGCUGAAGAGAGGAGCUUGCUCUUCUGGGAAGAGUUGCGAACGGGUGAGUAACGCGUAGGUAACCUGCCUUGUAGCGGGGGAUAACUAUUGGAAACGAUAGCUAAUACCGCAUAACAAUGGGUGACCCAUGUCAUUCAUUUAAAAGGGGCAACUGCUCCACUACAAGAUGGACCUGCGUUGUAUUAGCUAGUAGGUGAGGUAACGGCUCACCUAGGCGACGAUACAUAGCCGACCUGAGAGGGUGAUCGGCCACACUGGGACUGAGACACGGCCCAGACUCCUACGGGAGGCAGCAGUAGGGAAUCUUCGGCAAUGGGGGCAACCCUGACCGAGCAACGCCGCGUGAGUGAAGAAGGUUUUCGGAUCGUAAAGCUCUGUUGUAAGUCAAGAACGAGUGUGAGAGUGGAAAGUUCACACUGUGACGGUAGCUUACCAGAAAGGGACGGCUAACUACGUGCCAGCAGCCGCGGUAAUACGUAGGUCCCGAGCGUUGUCCGGAUUUAUUGGGCGUAAAGCGAGCGCAGGCGGUUUGAUAAGUCUGAAGUUAAAGGCUGUGGCUCAACCAUAGUUCGCUUUGGAAACUGUCAAACUUGAGUGCAGAAGGGGAGAGUGGAAUUCCAUGUGUAGCGGUGAAAUGCGUAGAUAUAUGGAGGAACACCGGUGGCGAAAGCGGCUCUCUGGUCUGUAACUGACGCUGAGGCUCGAAAGCGUGGGGAGCGAACAGG